rnacentral:rRNA from 1 species
AUUGAACGCUGGCGGCAGGCCUAACACAUGCAAGUCGAGCGGAUGAAGGGAGCUGGCGCCGGGACUCAGCGGCGGACGGGAGAGUAAGGCCUAGGAAUCUGCCUGGUAGUGGGGGAUAACGUCCGGAAACGGGCGCUAAUACCGCAUACGUCCUGAGGGAGAAAGUGGGGGAUCGUCGGACCUCACGCUAUCAGAUGAGCCUAGGUCGGAUUAGCUAGUUGGUGGGGUAAAGGCCUACCAAGGCGACGAUCCGUAACUGGUCUGAGAGGAUGAUCAGUCACACUGGAACUGAGACACGGUCCAGACUCCUACGGGAGGCAGCAGUGGGGAAUAUUGGACAAUGGGCGAAAGCCUGAUCCAGCCAUGCCGCGUGUGUGAAGAAGGUCUUCGGAUUGUAAAGCACUUUAAGUUGGGAGGAAGGGCAGUAAGUUAAUACCUUGCUGUUUUGACGUUACCAACAGAAUAAGCACCGGCUAACUUCGUG